GUCUAUGGCCAUGCUACUCCGAACAAGCCAGAUCCUGUCUGAUCUUGGAAGCUAAGCAGGGAUGGGCCUGGUUAGUACUUGGAUGGGACACCACCUAGGAAGACCAGGUGCUGUAGGCA
rnacentral:rRNA from 1 species